AGUGAACGCUGGCGGUAGGCCUAACACAUGCAAGUCGAACGGCAGCACAGUAAGAGCUUGCUCUUACGGGUGGCGAGUGGCGGACGGGUGAGGAAUACAUCGGAAUCUACUUUUUCGUGGGGGAUAACGUAGGGAAACUUACGCUAAUACCGCAUACGACCUACGGGUGAAAGCAGGGGAUCUUCGGACCUUGCGCGAUUGAAUGAGCCGAUGUCGGAUUAGCUAGUUGGCGGGGUAAAGGCCCACCAAGGCGAAGAUCCGUAGCUGGUCUGAGAGGAUGAUCAGCCACACUUGAACUGAGGCACGGUCCAGACUCCUACGGGAGGCAGCAGUGGGGAAUAUUGGACAAUGGGCGGAAGCCUGAUCCAGCCAUACCGCGUGGGUGAAGAAGGCCUUCGGGUUGUAAAGCCCUUUUGUUGGGAAAGAAAAGCAGCAGGUUAAUACCCCGCUGUUCUGACGGUACCCAAAGAAUAAGCACCGGCUAACUUCGUG
rnacentral:rRNA from 1 species